CAGCAGCCGCGGUAAUACGAGGGGGGCAAGCGUUGUUCGGAAUUAUUGGGCGUAAAGGGUGCGUAGGCGGUUUGGCAAGUUUGGUGUGAAAUCUUCGGGCUCAACUCGAAGUCUGCAUCGAAAACUGCCGGGCUUGAGUAUGGGAGAGGUGAGUGGAAUUUCCGGUGUAGCGGUGAAAUGCGUAGAUAUCGGAAGGAACACCUGUGGCGAAAGCGGCUCACUGGACCAUAACUGACGCUGAUGCACGAAAGCUAGGGGAGCAAACAGGAUUAGAUACCCGGGUAGUCCCUGUCUCUUAUAC
rnacentral:rRNA from 1 species